GAUGAACGCUAGCUACAGGCUUAACACAUGCAAGUCGAGGGGCAGCAUUUUAGUUUGCUUGCAAACUGAAGAUGGCGACCGGCGCACGGGUGAGUAGCACGUAUCCAACCUGCCGAUAACUCCGGAAUAGCCUUUCGAAAGAAAGAUUAAUACCGGAUGGCAUACGAAUAUCGCAUGAUAUUUUUAUUAAAGAAUUUCGGUUAUCGAUGGGGAUGCGUUCCAUUAGUUUGUUGGCGGGGUAACGGCCCACCAAGACUACGAUGGAUAGGGGUUCUGAGAGGAAGGUCCCCCACAUUGGAACUGAGACACGGUCCAAACUCCUACGGGAGGCAGCAGUGAGGAAUAUUGGUCAAUGGGCGCGAGCCUGAACCAGCCAAGUAGCGUGAAGGAUGAAGGCUCUAUGGGUCGUAAACUUCUUUUAUAUGGGAAUAAAGUUUUCCACGUGUGGAAUUUUGUAUGUACCAUAUGAAUAAGGAUCGGCUAACUCCGUGCCAGCAGCCGCGGUAAUACGGGGGAUCCGAGCGUUAUCCGGAUUUAUUGGGUUUAAAGGGAGCGUAGGUGGAUUGUUAAGUCAGUUGUGAAAGUUUGCGGCUCAACCGUAAAAUUGCAGUUGAAACUGGCAGUCUUGAGUACAGUAGAGGUGGGCGGAAUUCGUGGUGUAGCGGUGAAAUGCUUAGAUAUCACGAAGAACUCCGAUUGCGAAGGCAGCUCACUAGACUGUCACUGACACUGAUGCUCGAAAGUGUGGGUAUCAAACAGGAUUAGAUACCCUGGUAGUCCACACAGUGAACGAUGAAUACUCGCUGUUUGCGAUAUACAGUAAGCGGCCAAGCGAAAGCAUUAAGUAUUCCACCUGGGGAGUACGCCGGCAACGGUGAAACUCAAAGGAAUUGACGGGGGCCCGCACAAGCGGAGGAACAUGUGGUUUAAUUCGAUGAUACGCGAGGAACCUUACCCGGGCUUAAAUUGCAACAGAAUAUAUUGGAAACAGUAUAGCCGUAAGGCUGUUGUGAAGGUGCUGCAUGGUUGUCGUCAGCUCGUGCCGUGAGGUGUCGGCUUAAGUGCCAUAACGAGCGCAACCCUUAUCUUUAGUUACUAACAGGUCAUGCUGAGGACUCUAGAGAGACUGCCGUCGUAAGAUGUGAGGAAGGUGGGGAUGACGUCAAAUCAGCACGGCCCUUACGUCCGGGGCUACACACGUGUUACAAUGGGGGGUACAGAAGGCGGCUACCUGGUGACAGGAUGCUAAUCCCAAAAACCUCUCUCAGUUCGGAUCGAAGUCUGCAACCCGACUUCGUGAAGCUGGAUUCGCUAGUAAUCGCGCAUCAGCCAUGGCGCGGUGAAUACGUUCCCGGGCCUUGUACACACCGCCCGUCAAGCCAUGAAAGCCGGGGGUACCUGAAGUACGUAACCGCAAGGAGCGUCCUAGGGUA
rnacentral:rRNA from 1 species